rnacentral:rRNA from 1 species
UACGAAGGGGGCUAGCGUUGCUCGGAAUCACUGGGCGUAAAGCGCACGUAGGCGGAUUGUUAAGUCAGGGGUGAAAUCCUGGAGCUCAACUCCAGAACUGCCUUUGAUACUGACGAUCUCGAGUCCGGGAGAGGUGAGUGGAACUGCGAGUGUAGAGGUGAAAUUCGUAGAUAUUCGCAAGAACACCAAUGGCGAAGGCAGCUCGCUGGGACGGUACUGACGCUGAGGCGCGAAAGCGUGGGGAGCAAACAGG